rnacentral:rRNA from 1 species
UUUGGUUAAGUUACUAAGGGCGCAUGGUGGAUGCCUUGGAGUCGUCGAGCGAUGAAGGACGUGGUAAGCUGCGAUAAGCCUCGGGGAGCUGCAAACAAGCGUUGAUCCGGGGAUUUCCGAAUGGGGUAACCCACUGCGGGUAAACCUGCAGUACUCUGGCCUGAAUACAUAGGGCCAAGAGGGCGUACGAGGGGAAUUGAAACAUCUCAGUACCCUCAGGAACAGAAAAUAACAAUGAUUUCCCUAGUAGCGGCGAGCGAACGGGGAACAGCCUAAACCGAUGCCGUGUCAAGCUGACGGGCGUUGCGUCAUCGGUGUUGCGGGACCUUUUAGGGAGAGCCGUUAAUCUCCCAGGGAGUUACAAAGUUGAACUAUAGCCGAACGGCCUGGAAAGGCCGGCCACAGCGGGUGACAGCCCCGUAGGCGAAAUGGUCCAGCCUCCCUAAAGUCAUCCCAAGUACCGCGGGACACGAGAAAUCCUGUGGGAAUCUGGCAGGACCAUCUGCCAAGGCUAAAUAUCCGACGACUACCGAUAGUGAACCAGUACCGUGAGGGAAAGGUGAAAAGCACCCCUGGCGGGGAGUGAAAUAGUACCUGAAACCAUGCGCUUACAAGCAGUCGGAGGGCCUUCGGGCCUGACGGCGUGCCUUUUGCAUAAUGAGCCGGUGAGUUAUCGUAUGCAGCAAGGUUAAGUGUCGCAGGCACGGAGCCGUAGCGAAAGCGAGUCUGAAUAGGGCGUACAGUUGCAUGCGGUAGACCCGAAGCUGAGUGAUCUUGCCAUGACCAGGAUGAAGCGCAAGUAACAUUGCGUGGAAGUCCGAACCAGGGUGGGUUGAAAACCGCUUGGAUGAGUUGUGGCAAGGGGUGAAAGGCCAAUCAAACUCAGUGAUAGCUGGUUCUCCCCGAAAUACAUUUUGGUGUAGCCUCGGGAA